CUCGAAAGCCNGUCCCAGUUCGGACUGGAGUCUGCAACCCGACUCCACGAAGUUGGAUUCGCUAGUAAUCGCGCAUCAGCCAUGGCGCGGUGAAUACGUUCCCGGGCCUUGUACACACCGCCCGUCAAGCCAUGGGAGCCGGGGGCGCCUGAAGUCCGGGACCGCGAGGACCGGCCUAGGGCGAAACUGGUAACUGGGGCUAAGUCGUAACAAGGUAAC
rnacentral:rRNA from 1 species